UCCGUAGGCGGGCAAUUAAGUCAGAGGUGAAAUCCCACAGCUCAACUGUGGAACUGCCUUUGAUACUGGUUGUCUUGAGUUACAGUGAAGUAGAUAGAAUAUGUAGUGUAGCGGUGAAAUGCAUAGAUAUUACAUAGAAUACCGAUUGCGAAGGCAGUCUACUAACUGUAUACUGACGCUAAUGGACGAAAGCGUGGGGAGCGAACAGGAUUAGAUACCCUGUUAGUCC
rnacentral:rRNA from 1 species